UUUUCUGUUCUCAUUUGCCCAUUUGACAAAUGUGUCUGCAGCUGCCUUCACAGUUGUGAAAUCCCUGCUGAUGUUUUUGAGGCUGUCUUGUGUGGCGAUCACCAUACGAUGGGCAGAGAGGAUUUCCAUCCCUUUUGUCUGGAGGUACUUUGAUAGUGGAGUUGUUUGAAUUUUGAAUUUCGAAUUUCAGGAGGCCCUCUUUGAAUCCUCGUGCUUUAGCAUGGACGGUUGGCUUCUCUUUUGCCUGCUGCUCUAUGGCUGCCAGUGUGAGCACUGUAUCGAUGAAGAGGCUGCUGACUGGUUUACCAAAGUGUCCAAACACUUUUUUGUCAGCUUCGUGCUUGGAGCCCCACCUUGUUUCUCCAAUUGGAGAUAGGCGUCUGUGGCUUUUGUCUUGGGCUUGGUUGUCCCACAGAAUGACCCUCUGGUAGGAGUCCUUGAUGAACACAGCUAUGUCAUUCAGUAGACUGAAGAGGGAUCCACUUUUGAUAACACUUCCAUUAGUGUCAGCCAGCACUAGAUUUAGUACAUGAGCGUAGCACCAUACAUGCACAUGAGUGGGAGACUCGGACGUCAUCAAUGCUGAAAACCCUCUGUACUGGCCCUGCAUAUUUGAUGCCCCAUCUGUUGAAUUUCCGAUACACAUGGCCUUGUCCAGUUUCAGGCGAUCUAAGACUUCUGAGAGCAAGUCCACGAAGUAUUGCCCAGCGGAUGCAUGGCACUUCACUACAGCAACAAGCCUCUCCUGCACAGCCUCAGUAACAUAACGCAAUACGACUGCACACUGAUCCUGGCUGGUUAUAUCUUGUGUAGUGUCCAGCUGAACAGUGAACAUGCCAGCUUUCUGGAGGUCACUGGCGAUGCUCUCCUGAAUUAGAUGGCCAAUGCUAUCGAUCACGGAGUUCACAGUGGUUUUGGACAGUAGGGUGAUAAGUGAUCCUCUACCUUUUGUUCCACUUGAUUCAUGCAAUUCCUUGCUCUUCUUUAUGCAAUCAUCAAGAUGCUCUUUGAGACUGACAUCAUACUUUCCUAAUAAAAGGAUGAGCUCCAAAAAGUUUCCAUGGUCUAGGGUAUUGUCAUCCCAGUUGUAUGCUGCCUCAUUCUUCAUAUGCUGGUAGCUCAGGCCCCUCUUUCCAAACACUUUAACCACAUCCACUACACGCUCCAAAACCUGGCGUUUCUUUCUGACUUGCUGCCUAUGAGCAGACAUCUGACUGCCGGCAAACUUGCUCUGGAUAUCUCCCUUUUUGUACCUUAGGAAAUAAGCUUCCGCACACUUUCGGUGUGUAUCGCUCUUUUCGUGCUCCUCUGUACGCUGGUGUACACGUCUCCAUCCUGAGAGUCCAGUAAUGAACUUGCUGGUGUCAGUGCUCUUUCCAAAUGCCAUACAUAUAAAACAAAACAAUGUAUGCUGUUCCUCGCAAUAUGUGAGCCACUUCCUGCUGGUGCCAUCUUUGCAGGUGAAUACCUUUUGCACAACCUGAUUGUUGGUUCUCUGCUGAGGGUGGAGAUCUACAAAAUUAUCGAACAUGGAAGGCUCAGGGCGGGCAAAGUAAUUGAAGUCCUGCUCCUGGCUCUCUCUUUCCUGUUCCUGGCUUUCUCUUUCCUGUUCCUGGCUCUCUCUUUCCUGUUCCUGGCUCUCUCUUUCCUGUUCCUCGCUCUCCUCUCUCUCCCUGACACUCUUGUUCUCUGGGGAGGGCAGCUCAACCUAGCUCAAAAAGACAUGAGGAGAGACGUAAAGACACACUUUGUGAGGUUAUAUUUUAAAUAUCCCCCAAGGAUAUGUUUGAAGAUGUAUAUAUCUAAAUAUAAUUUGUCUGGUUUUUCCACAUUUUUUUUUAAAUCUCGAAAUUCCAUCUGAUGCCUUCUCAAGUGGAAUUGUGUUUAUUUAUAUAGCCCUAUAUCACACACUUGUCUCAAAGGGAUUCACAGAGAAAGUGUCUAGCUCAGACAGACACUUCUUCAAUAAAAAAAUCCUGAAUCUAUAAAUAUGCAAAUACAUUUAUUUUUCAGAAUUGUGACAAAAUGUCUCCUCCUUCAUUAAGUCUUUUUUUAGUGGAGGGGGAUUUGGACAUAAUGAUACAUGCAGGUCUGACAUACAAGCUCCUAGAUAAUAGGGCCUAGGACCAUCAAACCACUUCUAAAUUGUUGACAAACAAUGGCCACAAGAUGCAGAGCCUAUGCUUUGAGCAUUAUUACCUAGUGCAAUUUUACACAAAUAUUUCCAAUUAGGUAUUUCAAUUGAUUAUUGAAAAAAAUACAGAUGACAAAUGCUUUCAAGUUCAAUAGCUCCUAGAUAAUAGGGCCUAGGACCAUCAAACCACUUCUAAAUUGUUGACAAACAAUGGCCACAAGAUGCAGAGCCUAUGCUUUGAGCAUUAUUACCUAGUGCAAUGUAUAUCUUUAUGCGGGGGGGGGGGAGGAUCAGUACAGUUAAACCAGCAACAUUAAUUCUGAGGCACUUGUGGUUUUAAGCGAUAAGGAUAGUAGGGAAACACCCAGGUGGGUAUGACGGUGUGGCAUGCCUGCAACAAUUGAACAUAUUAUUAUAAUGUAAAAUACAGGAAAGUAAGAUGGUAUUCAAUGUUAUUUUAGAAUUAGGACUUUCCUUUUUCUUUUUUCAGACAAGAAGAAGCAGUAACUAUUUGAAAGGAAAGUUGGAUUUGUUUGUAUGCAACUGGACUAUAUGCACGGAUGCAUCUGAGGAUCAGGUGAGGUUUUUUAACGAUCAGCAGAGGGCAGUAAUGCGUGUGGAAGUGUUUAACCUGCCAGAAUCAUACAAAGAGAAGAAGAAGCAGAAGCAUCACGCAGAGCGGUGUGAAGAGCUGAGGGGAGUGCUUCGGAGGCAUCGGUGCUGGGCUUCACAUGUCCCGAUUCAGAAUGCUGCUCCCCGACUCGCCUUCAACCUUCCCAAGUUAUCCCAAGUCACUCCUGCUGAGUUCACUCCACUGGCUACCGGUCGCUGCCAGGACCAGGUUCAAAGUCCAGAUCCUCGCCUACCCUGCAGCCAACAGGACGGCCCCCGGCUACUUACAGGACAUGAUUCAAUCCUACACGCCAGCUCGACCACUCCGCUCUGUGGAAACAGCGCCACUUGCACCCCUGCCAUUCGGAUGAAUCUGGGAUAAUUUUUUCACUUAAAUUCCCCUCUUUUAUGCUACACAUGUACCUCCUGUGCCAAUUUCAUGUUACCUGUACCGCCAUCCAGCACUUAUACUGUACUUUGUAUCAUUAUCUUGAUGUUGUAGCUUGUCAUGCCUCCUAGUUUUACUUAGCAGAGGUUAGGUCAGAGUAAUGUUUAAUGUGUGAACUGGACUUAAUGUGUUCAUGGCUAUGAAUAACUGUUACAAAAUGAGUAUUGUGCCUUAUUGGAUCUGUGUUUUGUAGUUGUUCCAAUGACCUUCUUUAUGCACUUAUUGUACGUCACUUUGGAUAAAAACGUCUGCCGAAUAAUGCAAUGUAAUGUCAGGAGUUUGCCUCCCUCUGCUGGACAGAAAAUGGCAUUACAGCAGAGGAAAUCCGAUUUAAAAAAUGUUGCAAUG